CAGUAAUGAAGAGCAGAAGCAGCAUAAACACAGAUAAUAAUGAUAUACCUUGAAGGCGAAACAGGGGAAGGUUCACAACAGAAUCACCAUCCAAGAAAGCUGUUCUGUGGCGAGUGUCUUCAAUUUCUGAAGAUGAAAGCAACUCCCAACUUGACU